CAAUAGCGUAUAUUAAAGUUGUUGCAGUUAAAAGCUCGUAGUUGGAUUUCUAGAUAAGUGGGUACUUGUACUUUGCUUGUCUACCAGUCUUAGACUGUUACUGUGAGAAAAUUAGAGUGUUUCAAGCAGGCUGUUGCAGGAAUACAUUAGCAUGGAAUAACGAAUGUGUCUGGAAUAUUGGUUAAUUCUAGAUUACGAUUAAUAGGGACAGUUGGGGCGAUUAGUAUUUAAUUUGUCAGAGGUGGAAAUUACUUUGGAGUUUAUUUAAAGUAACUAACGUAAUGCGAAAGACAUUUGUCCAAGGAAUGUUUUCUAUAAUUCAAGAAACGAAAGAAUAGGGGAGUCAAAGAAUGAUCAGAUACCAU
rnacentral:rRNA from 1 species